GACGAACGCUGGCGGCGUGCUUAACACAUGCAAGUCGAACGGUGACCCUCGGAGCUUGCUUCGGGGUGAGCAGUGGCGAACGGGUGAGUAACACGUGAGUAACCUGCCCCUGACUCUGGAAUAAGCGCUGGAAACGGCGUCUAAUACCGGAUACGACACGCCUCCGCAUGGGGAGCGUGUGGAAAGUUUUUCGGUCUGGGAUGGACUCGCGGCCUAUCAGCUUGUUGGUGAGGUAAUGGCUCACCAAGGCGAUGACGGGUAGCCGGCCUGAGAGGGCGACCGGCCACACUGGGACUGAGACACGGCCCAGACUCCUACGGGAGGCAGCAGUGGGGAAUAUUGCACAAUGGGCGAAAGCCUGAUGCAGCGACGCCGCGUGAGGGAUGACGGCCUUCGGGUUGUAAACCUCUUUCAGCAGGGAAGAAGCGAAAGUGACGGUACCUGCAGAAGAAGCACCGGCUAACUACGUGCCAGCCGCCGCAGUAA
rnacentral:rRNA from 1 species